rnacentral:ribozyme from 15 species
CACUCAGGAGCAGCUGGGAGAGGACUGUGACUGUGGCCACGCGGUGGCCGGGGAAGGGCCGGCUGAGGAAGGGGUGGAUGAACUGCAGCAAGGCCUCCCGCUUGGUCGGGUGGUGACGGCAGAAGAGGGCCACGAGCUCGCAGAUGACCUCGUC